CAAGACGUAGCUAUAAUACCAAAGCAUUCAGCUUACACCUGAAAGAUGUCUACAGUCCCCAGACCGUCUUGA
rnacentral:tRNA from 1 species